rnacentral:rRNA from 1 species
CAAUAGCGUAUAUUAAAGUUGUUGCAGUUAAAAAGCUCGUAGUUGGAUUUCUGGUGGGAGCGAUCGGUCUGGCGCUUAGCGCGAGUACUUGCAUCGUCUCCGGCCAUCCUUGGGGAGAGUCUGUCUGGCAUUAGGUUGUCGGGCAGAGGAUCCUCAUCGUUUACUGUGAAAAAAUUAGAGUGUCCAAAGCAGGCUUAUGCCGUUGAAUAUAUUAGCAUGGAAUAAUAAGAUAGGACUUUGGCACUAUUUUGUUGGUUUGCGCACCAAAGUAAUGAUUAAUAGGGACAGUUGGGGGUAUUCGUAUUCCGUUGUCAGAGGUGAAAUUCUUGGAUUUACGGAAGACGAACUACUGCGAAAGCAUUUACCAAGGAUGUUUUCAUUAA